rnacentral:rRNA from 1 species
GUGCCAGCAGCCGCGGUAAUACGGAGGGUCCGAGCGUUAAUCGGAAUUACUGGGCGUAAAGCGUGCGCAGGCGGUUUGUUAAGCCAGAUGUGAAAUCCCCGGGCUCAACCUGGGAAUUGCAUUUGGAACUGGCGAACUAGAGUCUUGUAAAGGGGGGUAAAAUUCCAGGUGUAACGGUGAAAUGCUUAGANAUCCUGGGGGAUACCCGUUUUGCAGGCGGCCCCCUGGACAAAGAAUUAACGCUUUNCACGAAAACCGUGGGAGCAAACAGGAUUAGAUACCCGGGAAGUCC